rnacentral:lncRNA from 1 species
CCAGAGACCCCAGAGAGGGAUGUGGACAGGGACCGUGACAGGGAAAGAGACCGCACUACCGCAGCAACACAAGCUCAGACACCAGGGAUCCACGGUCAUCUCGUUCUGGUUUCCAACAAGACAAGGACUUCAGAAGUGGAGGUAAUCCUCCACCUCCAGUUGGUGCCCCAUCCCAGCCACCUCCUCGGGGAGUACCACCACCGACAGGAGCGCCGCCCACUCUGCCACCCAGUCUGGCCGGCCAGGAUCAAGAGAAGGCCAGCUUGAUCAUGCAAGUAUUGCAGCUGUCGGAUGAUCAGAUCAAGAUGCUGCCCCCAGAACAGCGCGCCUCCAUUCUCCAGCUGAAGGAACAAAUCCAGCGUUCACAACAUUAAAGAUUUUUGCCAUGGUCCAAACACGCUCAUAGCCCAGAUGAAUGUGGGGUUACCAGAUUCCAUUCUGAAUUUAUUUUGACUGCUUGCAACUUUGAGACUUCUGUUGCAAAUUAGCUUAGUAAGACAUAAGGAAUUUCACAUUUAAGUCAGCACUUAUGGUUUGAUGAUGAUAAUAAUUUGUAUGGUAGAUUAUUUUUAAUAGCUAUUUACAGCCAAUUGAUAAUUUUGUUUCGAUAUGAAAGACAUUUUAUUUUGAGGUGAGUGA